CACGUAGGGCGCAAGCGUUGUCCGGAAUUAUUGGGCGUAAAGAGCUCGUAGGCGGUCUGUUACGUCUGCUGUGAAAACCCAGGGCUUAACCCUGGGCUUGCAGUGGAUACGGGCAGACUAGAGGCAGGUAGGGGAGAAUGGAAUUCCCGGUGUAGCGGUGAAAUGCGCAGAUAUCUGGAGGAACACCGGUGGCGAAGGCGGCAUCCUGGACCAACACUGACGCUGAGGAGCGAAAGCCAGGGAGCAAAGCGGG
rnacentral:rRNA from 1 species